UUCUCCUUCUUCUUCUUCUAAUCUUAAGUUCAAAGACCAUGUAGCAUUAAGUAUUAUAAUCUGGCCGUAGAAUAUUUCUCAGAGAUCCGGCGUUUAUGGUCAUUUAUAUUAUUAUAAUAUUAUAUACUAAUAUAUAUCUUGAUCCACAAGCUUAACUACAAGUUUCUUUUUUUUUUCCUCUGUAAAUUUUGUACUGCCGUUUUUUCUCUCUCCAAUCAUCACUCUCUCUCUGUGUGUGUGCUGGGUUGGUGUCGAGAAACCCAUGUUCUUUCUCACUCUAUCUUCCAAGAUUUCAAAUGGGUGUUUCAAGAAAAAGCCAUUAAACUUCACAUUGAGCUCCUCCGCUAAAAUUUGGGUCUCUAAAUCUCCAUGCUCUUGGUGUGUUAAUUGUUAUGCCAAAGAUCCGCCAUGGAAGCUGACCAGAUAAGGCUUAUUGUAGCACUCUCUAUCUCUCUAGUUUCAUUUGUUUCAAGUAUAACAGACCCUAAUGACCUUGCAAUUCUCAACCAGUUUAGUAAAGGUUUGGAGAAUGCAGAGCUCUUGAAG
rnacentral:lncRNA from 1 species